CCUACGGGUGGCAGCAGUGAGGAAUAUUGGUCAAUGGGCGCGAGCCUGAACCAGCCAUGUCGCGUGAGUGAAGACGGUCCUAUGGAUUGUAAGCCUCUUCUGUCGGGGAGAAAAAGACGCCACUCAUGGCGUUCCGAGAGUACCCGACGCACAAGCAUCGGAAAAGACCGUUCCAGCAGACGCGGUACUACGGGGGUUGCGAGCGUAAUCCUAAUUUAUGGGGUUAAAGGGGUGCGCAGGCGGAUGAUAAAGUCAGCGGUAAUAUUGAGGGGCACAACCGGUUCGAGCCGUUGAAACUGGUUGGCUUGAGUGAGUGAGAGGGAUGUGGAAUGCGAGGUGUAGCGGUGAAAUGCAUAGAGAUCUCGAGGAACUCCGAUGGCGAAGGCAGCAGACCGGCG
rnacentral:rRNA from 1 species